rfam:Schistosoma mattheei strain Denwood, Zambia genome assembly, scaffold: SMTD_scaffold0003973
ACACUGCUGAGGAGUCCCACAACAGGACGAAACGGCCGUUCAGUGC